UACGUAGGGGGCGAGCGUUGUCCGGAUUUAUUGGGCGUAAAAGGCUUGUAGGUGGCCACGUCAAGUCGGAUGUGAAAUCUCCCGGCUCAACUGGGAGGGGUCAUUCGAUACUGGCGGGCUCGAGGCCGGUAGGGGGAAGCGGAAUUCCCGGUGUAGUGGUGGAAUGCGUAGAGAUCCGGAGGAACACCAGCGGCGAAGGCGGCAUCCUGGACUGGUCCUGACACUCAUGAGCGAAAGCGUGGGGAGCGAUCCGG
rnacentral:rRNA from 1 species